rnacentral:lncRNA from 1 species
GGGUGUGGUACUGAGGCUUCAGCGGGUGCCGCCCGCCUAGAGGGAGUGGAGCGGUGAGCACGUCAGGGGUGGGGGGCGCAGGUCAAGCUUUCACCAGUUUUUAAUUCUUUGAUGGGGUAAAUUUGAGCAAUUUUCUCGACUUGUCGACAUUCGUUAUUAACUGAGCAGGAAUCAGGAGAGGAACCCGGUCCUCUCCACACAGCCCAGCAGGUACGCCGCCCAUGUGCCUGUGGAGAAGAGAGGUUCCUGUGGGGCAGACAGGUGUGGACCAAGUAGCUGUGAAAUUUCUUCUGAAGAAAACACACAAGGAGGAAGCGAGUGAGCUCAGUGGAGGAGGGGCGCUACCCCAGGGGACGUCCCCAUGCAUGGGCUUGUGAACCUCGAAUAUGUGAGACGGUCUCAGUCAAUUUAGAAAGUUUAUUUUGCCAAGGUUGAGGACGCACGCCCGUGACACAGCCUCAGGAGGUCUUGACAUGUGCCAAAGGUGGUCGGGACACAGCUUGCUUUUAUACAUUUUAGGGAGACAGGAGACAUCAAUAUAUGUAAGAUGAACGUUGGUUCCCUCGGGAAAGGCGGGACAACUCGAAGCAGGGAGGGGGCUUCCAGGUCACAGAGAGCCUACGACUAGAUUUGCAUCUUUACGUCCUGCGCGGAGGCUGCUACACACAUGCAGAAGUCAUGCUGGUGGCCUGGACAUUGAAGGGAGAGAAGUGGAUUUGGGAGACAUUUAGGAGAUGGCACCGAAAGCGAAGGAAGCUCCUGCUCCUCCUAAAGCCGAAGCCAAAGCGAAGGCUUUAAAGGCCAAGAAGGCAGUGUUGAAAGGUGUCCGCAGCCACACGCAAAAAAGAGGAUCCGCAUGUCACUCACCUUCAGGCGGCCCAAGACACUGUGACUCCGGAGGCAGCCCAGAUAGCCUCAGAAGAGCACCCCCAGGAGAAACAAGCUUGGCCACUAUGCUAUCAUCAAGUUUCCGCUGACCACUGAGUCGGCCGUGAAGAAGAUAGAAGAAAACAACACGCUUGUGUUCACUGUGGAUGUUAAAGCCAACAAGCACCAGAUCAGACAGGCUGUGAAGAAGCUCUAUGACAGUGAUGUGGCCAAGGUCACCACCCUGAUUUGUCCUGAUAAAGAGAAGAAGGCAUAUGUUCGACUUGCUCCUGAUUAUGAUGCUUUCGAUGUUGUAACAAAAUUGGGAUCACCUAA